rnacentral:misc_RNA from 1 species
GAAGUGCGAUAAGCAAUGCGAAUUGCAGAACCGUGAGUCAUCAGAUUUUUGAACGCAACUGGCGCCGGUUGGCUCUCCAACCGGCAUGCUUGUUUCAGUGUCUCUUUAUCUCAUCACCCAUAUCAUAAUGCGAGAGAUACCCUUCUCUUGCUAAGCUCGAAAGCACUCUGCGCUCUGCGAGCGGCUUCGACUUGUUCGAGGGUCGCACACAAUGCAGCCGUCACAUUGCUCACAAUGUGAACUCAUUGAGAGCUGAGGCAGUGUAGCGUAAGCUACCAGUGCUUAGUCACACAAACUUUACUUGCAUCUGAAAUCAAGCAGGAUCACCCGCUGAACUUAAGC